CAGCAGCCGCGGGAAAACGAAGGGGGCUAGCGUUGUUCGGAAUUACUGGGCGUAAAGCGCACGCGGGCGGCUCGAUAAAUUAGAAGUGAAAGCCUUGGGCUUAACCUGAGAAUUGCUUUUAAGACUGUCGAGCUAGAAUCCAGAAGAGGGUAGUGGAAUUCCGAGUGUAGAGGUGAAAUUCGUAGAUAUUCGGAAGAACACCAGUGGCGAAGGCGACUACCUGGUCUGGCAUUGACGCUCAUGUGCGAAAGCGUGGGGAGCAAACAGGAUUAGAUACCCCGGUAGCCCUGUCUCUUAUACA
rnacentral:rRNA from 1 species